GAAGGGGUAGCUCAGUGGGAGAGGGCAUGCUUAGCAUGCACGAGGCCCUGGGUUCAAUCUCCAGCACCUCUG
rnacentral:tRNA from 1 species